rnacentral:rRNA from 1 species
UACGUAGGGUCCGAGCGUUGUCCGGAAUUAUUGGGCGUAAAGAGCUCGUAGGCGGUCUGUUGCGUCGGCUGUGAAAACCCGGGGCUCAACUCCGGGCCUGCAGUCGAUACGGGCAGACUAGAGUUCGGUAGGGGAGACUGGAAUUCCUGGUGUAGCGGUGAAAUGCGCAGAUAUCAGGAGGAACACCGGUGGCGAAGGCGGGUCUCUGGGCCGAUACUGACGCUGAGGUGCGAAAGCGUGGGGAGCGAUCCGG